rnacentral:rRNA from 1 species
UACGGAGGGGGGCUAGCGUUGUUCGGAAUUACUGGGCGUAAAGCGCACGUAGGCGGCUUUGUAAGUUAGAGGUGAAAGCCCAGGGCUUAACCCUGGAAUUGCCUUUAAGACUGCAUCGCUAGAAUCGUGGAGAGGUGAGUGGAAUUCCGAGUGUAGAGGUGAAAUUCGUAGAUAUUCGGAAGAACACCAGUGGCGAAGGCGACUCACUGGACACGUAUUGACGCUGAGGUGCGAAAAGCGUGGGGAGCAAACAGG